UACAGAGGGUGCGAGCGUUAAUCGGAAUUACUGGGCGUAAAGCGCACGUAGGUGGCGACGUAAGUCGGGUGUGAAAGCCCCGGGCUCAACCUGGGAAUUGCAUUCGAGACUGCAUUGCUGGAGUACGGAAGAGGAAGGCGGAAUUCCCGGUGUAGCGGUGAAAUGCGUAGAUAUCGGGAGGAACAUCAGUGGCGAAGGCGGCCUUCUGGUCCAGUACUGACACUCAAGUGCGAAAGCGUGGGGAGUAAACAGG
rnacentral:rRNA from 1 species